GAAGAGCUUUGAUUGCCUGGUUGUCAGUGGCUUCAAAGGCAGUUAGUCCAUCUGGCCCUUUCACACUCUUAUCAGCACCCUUCCAGAGGAGCAGUUUCACACC